GGCGGCAGGCUUAACACAUGCAAGUCGAGCGGAAACGAUGAUAGCUUGCUAUCAGGCGUCGAGCGGCGGACGGGUGAGUAAUACUUAGGAAUCUACCUAGUAGUGGGGGAUAGCUCGGGGAAACUCGAAUUAAUACCGCAUACGUCCUACGGGAGAAAGGGGGCAACUUGUUGCUCUCGCUAUUAGAUGAGCCUAAGUCGGAUUAGCUAGAUGGUGGGGUAAAGGCCUACCAUGGCGACGAUCUGUAGCUGGUCUGAGAGGAUGAUCAGCCACACCGGGACUGAGACACGGCCCGGACUCCUACGGGAGGCAGCAGUGGGGAAUAUUGGACAAUGGGGGGAACCCUGAUCCAGCCAUGCCGCGUGUGUGAAGAAGGCCUUUUGGUUGUAAAGCACUUUAAGCAGUGAAGAAGACUCUUCGGUUAAUACCCGGGGACGAUGACAUUAGCUGCAGAAUAAGCACCGGCUAACUCUGUGCCAGCAGCCGCGGUAAUACAGAGGGUGCAAGCGUUAAUCGGAAUUACUGGGCGUAAAGCGAGCGUAGGUGGCUUGAUAAGUCAGAUGUGAAAUCCCCGGGCUUAACCUGGGAACUGCAUCUGAAACUGUUAGGCUAGAGUAGGUGAGAGGGAAGUAGAAUUUCAGGUGUAGCGGUGAAAUGCGUAGAGAUCUGAAGGAAUACCGAUGGCGAAGGCAGCUUCCUGGCAUCAUACUGACACUGAGGCUCGAAAGCGUGGGUAGCAAACAGGAUUAGAUACCCUGGUAGUCCACGCCGUAAACGAUGUCUACUAGUCGUUGGGUCCCUUGAGGACUUAGUGACGCAGCUAACGCAAUAAGUAGACCGCCUGGGGAGUGCGGCCGCAAGGUUAAAACUCAAAUGAAUUGACGGGGGCCCGCACAAGCGGUGGAGCAUGUGGUUUAAUUCGAUGCAACGCGAAGAACCUUACCUGGUCUUGACAUACACAGAAUC
rnacentral:rRNA from 1 species